AACGAACGCUGGCGGCAGGCUUAACACAUGCAAGUCGAACGCCCCGCCAGGGGAGUGGCAGACGGGUGAGUAACGCGUGGGAACAUACCCUUUUCUACGGAAUAGCUCUGGGAAACUGGAAUUAAUACCGUAUACGCCCUACGGGGGAAAGAUUUAUCGGGGAAGGAUUGGCCCGCGUUGGAUUAGCUAGUUGGUGGGGUAAAGGCCUACCAAGGCGACGAUCCAUAGCUGGUCCGAGAGGAUGAUCAGCCACAUUGGGACUGAGACACGGCCCAAACUCCUACGGGAGGCAGCAGUGGGGAAUAUUGGACAAUGGGCGCAAGCCUGAUCCAGCCAUGCCGCGUGAGUGAUGAAGGCCUUAGGGUUGUAAAGCUCUUUCACCGAUGAAGAUAAUGACGGUAGUCGGAGAAGAAGCCCCGGCUAACUUCGUG
rnacentral:rRNA from 1 species